rnacentral:misc_RNA from 1 species
AUUGUGUCGACACGCCCGAGUCAACUCACUGCCAAAUUGUCAGGUUGCAGAUGAGGAACUAUAUGAGUAUAAGAAGGAUAGUAUUGGGUCGGCAACAAAUUCAAAUUUUGGGGCGAGAUUGAAAUCUACUUUGGAGAAACACAGGGUGUUGCAGAGGUUUUUGCUUGUGUUGGCUUUGAUUGGGACAUGUAUGGUGAUCGGUGAUGGUGUUCUAACCCCUGCUAUUUCUGUAUUUUCUGCGGUUUCUG